GGUUAAGCGACUAAGCGUACACGGUGGAUGCCCUGGCAGUCAGAGGCGAUGAAGGACGUGCUAAUCUGCGAUAAGCGUCGGUAAGGUGAUAUGAACCGUUAUAACCGGCGAUUUCCGAAUGGGGAAACCCAGUGUGUUUCGACACACUAUCAUUAACUGAAUCCAUAGGUUAAUGAGGCGAACCGGGGGAACUGAAACAUCUAAGUACCCCGAGGAAAAGAAAUCAACCGAGAUUCCCCCAGUAGCGGCGAGCGAACGGGGAGGAGCCCAGAGCCUGAAUCAGUGUGUGUGUUAGUGGAAGCGUCUGGAAAGGCGCGCGAUACAGGGUGACAGCCCCGUACACAAAAAUGCACAUACUGUGAGCUCGAUGAGUAGGGCGGGACACGUGGUAUCCUGUCUGAAUAUGGGGGGACCAUCCUCCAAGGCUAAAUACUCCUGACUGACCGAUAGUGAACCAGUACCGUGAGGGAAAGGCGAAAAGAACCCCGGCGAGGGGAGUGAAAAAGAACCUGAAACCGUGUACG
rnacentral:rRNA from 1 species